UUGCUCUCCAAAAUCUAGGGUUUUCAAUCUCUCAUCCCCAUUGUGUUGCUUUUGCUCCCGGAUCUCUUUAAUAGUCUUCUAUUUUUCAAUUUUGGUCUAAAGUUUACUUACGAAAUUGUCAACCUUUGAGGAACCAGUAAGAGAGAUUUUUCACUGAGAUUUGUUACCUUUGUAUCAUCAAGACAACGGUUGCAUUUAAGCUUCAUUAGUGCAGAACAUCCUCUUUUCCAUUCCAAGAAAUAUGGCUCCAAGACGUCUGCGAAGUAUUAAAGCUUCAAAAGUUUCUCAAUUGAGUAGUUUGCAAAGAGAGGAAAGAAUUAUUGAUUCACAACAACAUGUGUCAUUGCCUAUGGAUCCAUCGGUCUCAUCUACACAA